GAGCGUGCGGGACCUUGCGCUCCUCGGAGGUGAAUGCUUGGCGGUGUCUGGCAACUAUUGUUUAUCAACAAACCGCAGACGUCCGCCGCUUCACCACUAUAUUAUCAGUGUGGGGGAUGUAAAUGCUAUUUUGACAGCUUAUGCGACGUCACAGAACAUCAAAAACAAUGUGCCUCUGAGGCAGAAGAGACAGCCUCUACCGCCAUGGUAGCUGCUGCAGAGGCCCCUCCAGCACCUGUGGCUGCAGGGACAGUUUCCCUUUGCAUUCGAAAGUGUUCUAUAAGUCUUUCCCGGAGUAAAGAGGCACUAUCA